GACGAACGCUGGCGGCGUGCUUAACACAUGCAAGUCGAACGGAAGGGCCCUGCUUUUGUGGGGUGCUCGAGUGGCGAACGGGUGAGUAACACGUGAGUAACCUGCCCUUGACUUUGGGAUAACUUCAGGAAACUGGGGCUAAUACCGGAUAGGAGCUCCUGCUGCAUGGUGGGGGUUGGAAAGUUUCGGCGGUUGGGGAUGGACUCGCGGCUUAUCAGCUUGUUGGUGGGGUAGUGGCUUACCAAGGCUUUGACGGGUAGCCGGCCUGAGAGGGUGACCGGCCACAUUGGGACUGAGAUACGGCCCAGACUCCUACGGGAGGCAGCAGUGGGGAAUAUUGCACAAUGGGCGGAAGCCUGAUGCAGCAACGCCGCGUGCGGGAUGACGGCCUUCGGGUUGUAAACCGCUUUCGCCUAUGACGAAGCGUGAGUGACGGUAAUGGGUAAAGAAGCACCGGCUAACUACGUG
rnacentral:rRNA from 1 species